AGCUUUUGUUCUAAGUCAAAAUAUUAAAACUUUGACCAACUAUGUAGAAAAGAGUAGUAACAUAUAUGACACCAAAUUGGUAUAUUAUGAAAGUACAUUUCAGAACGGAUCUACUAAUACCAAUUUAGUGCCAUAAAUGCUGCUACUUUUUUCUAUAAAGUUGAUCAAAGUUUUAGAAUUUUGACUUAGGACAAAAUUUA
rnacentral:pre_miRNA from 1 species